ensembl:lncRNA novel transcript
ACCAGCCUUUCUCUCGGACCCGGUAGUGGUCCGUGAAGUCCGCGGAGUGGGCGCUGAUGGUGGGGCUAUCCCUUCCCACUGUCCGCGAGGUGCGCCGUGGUAACGCGCGGGGACACAGCGCGGGUGUGGACCCCCUGCCCACAGCUGGCGCACAGCCAUUGAGUGUAGACCCGACUGGGGCACGACCACUGAACCCUGCACUUGGCGUCCUCCGGGCCCCGCGAGGGGCCUUGCUGGGCGGGUCCGCGGCACCCCGGGUUCCCAGAAGUCGAGGCCCCGAAUGCGCCUCCCCUCGCCUGGAAUCGGAGAGCGGAGGGCUCCUGCGGGCAGGUGGCCGUGCUCCGAAGAGCGCCCUGCCACCCAUGAGGUGGCCCUGGGGGCGUCGCUAGCCUUCCCAGCUGGGUGUCCUCAUCCGGAGACACAAACACCUGCCUCAGGAUUAAAGCGAGGAGCUGUAUUUCAGACCGUCUCAGGAGAAAUAGCAAGAGGCUGCCUCACUCCUUUGCCCUUGUGAGAGCUAUUUCUUUACUCAGUUCACUGGUCAGCUAGGAGUUUGAAAGAGUGAAAUCUUAUUUAUAAAAGGAAUAGCUAAUGCAACCCAUUUUUCCAGUUUUGUGUGAACAGUGAAACCAUUGAACAAGCGUUUACUGUUCUCCGGCUCGUGCUGGAUGAACAAACACUAAGAAAUGGGGAAGUGGCAUUUUUCUCUCUCUCAUUUUCCACCAUGCUAAGAAAGGAGAUUAAAAAUCAGGGCUGCCUGUCUAAUAUGGUCUCCAGAAGUCAUUAAGUGAUAGGUUUUGCUCUUCUGUUUGCUUCUAGGCUUGGUAAGAUGGUAAUGAGAAUGCCUGUUCUUUUGAUUACUUUGCCCACUCCAUUUCCUCCCUAAAAUCUUUCAGUUAAAAGGUGGAUCCUCAAAAAGUUUCAUUGUCCAUCCUACUGCCUCAGUAGAGAUUUUAUCUAAACUCAAUUAGAUAAAAACAAAUACCACAGGAACCCUAGGAAAGCAAGUCGCGCCUUCUUGUGAUGAAACGGUCCAAUGCUCAGCAUCCUUUUCCUUUAGGCAGAAGAUAUUUCUAUGUGGCCUGUUCAUACUAAUAUGAGAAGUCUUAUCCUUAUGUCCUUAACUUUAAAAGGUCAGAAAAUAGAUUGUAAAAUCUAUAGAAUAAAACUAUGUUUCUGUUGAAUAAGAGAGUAUGUCCGUAAGUGUUACGGGAAAGGGGUCCGGAUCCAUACCCCAAAAGAGGGUUCUUGGAUCUUGCGCAAAAA